CCUACGGGGGGCAGCAGUGAGGAAUAUUGGUCAAUGGUCGGGAGACUGAACCAGCCAAGCCGCGUGAGGGAUGAAGGUACAGAGUAUCGUAAACCUCUUUUGUCAGGGAACAAAGGCGGGGACGCGUCCCCGGAUGAGUGUACCUGAAGAAAAAGCAUCGGCUAACUACGUGCCAGCAGCCGCGGUAGUACGUAGGUGGCAAGCGUUGUCCGGAUUUAUUGGGCGUAAAGCGAGUGCAGGCGGUUCAAUAAAUCUGAUGUGGAAACCUUCGGCGCAACAGGAGAA
rnacentral:rRNA from 1 species